GUGCAGGAUGUCUCAGGCAUUUUUUAAACAGGCACUACAGUUCAUCAGAUCCAUGUGAGGCAUUAAGAUGAGUGAACGACAUGAUGAAUGGAAUAUGAGGGAGCAGUGUGUAGGACAUGGAUCACAGAUAAGCAGAAUCCAGGCAGGGCGCCUAAUGCAAAGCAGUGAGAGACAGACAGAAACAUUAUCCAAAUGAGGUUGAUGGAUUAAAAGCAAGCAGUGUUUUCAUGCAAAAUCCUGGUCUUGAAAUUGUAGUGCUCACUCGGGGGAGCAGUAUCGGCCGGCAAAGAGAACACUCAUGGUGGAGUUAUGACGGAUGAAGAAGAGGAAGGGAUGGUCUGCUAUGAAGGUGGUGGGAAUCGUGAUGGAGCAGUUCGAGGCGAUGGCGCCGGUGGCAGCAGCAGCCUCGGUUCUCUCCUCGUUCUGCAAAAUAAACUGCUACAGUGAACUUUGAUGGUUGUCGGGUUGACCAUUCUUGGGCCUGGGAAGAGCAGGGGCUCUAAACAUGUUAUGGCCAGGUUUCCCCUAGACUAGGGAUGUAACAAUUUCAUUUCAUUUAAAUAAAAUCUGAUUUCUGAAAAAUGUGCAGUGGCCUCCUAUAGUUUCAUAGUUAUAACUAUGGAAAUGUUCUUAAAAACCACAAGUCUGAUGGUUUCAAUCAUUGCCAAAAUGGAACCAAUUGUUCUUUGGAUCAUGGCAAAUCUAUCCACCAUAUUUCAUUGAAAUCUGUUCACAAAUUGGCAAACAAUAAGGCAUGGGCACACUGUUGA